CACCAGGAGUGGAGCCUGCGGCU
rnacentral:ncRNA from 5 species